rnacentral:rRNA from 1 species
AGAUUGAACGCUGGCGGCAUGCUUUACACAUGCAAGUCGAACGGUAACAGGCCGCAAGGUGCUGACGAGUGGCGAACGGGUGAGUAAUGCAUCGGAACGUGCCCAGUCGUGGGGGAUAACGCAGCGAAAGCUGUGCUAAUACCGCAUACGAUCUAUGGAUGAAAGCGGGGGACCGAAAGGCCUCGCGCGAUUGGAGCGGCCGAUGUCAGAUUAGCUAGUUGGUGGGGUAAAGGCCCACCAAGGCGACGAUCUGUAGCUGGUCUGAGAGGACGACCAGCCACACUGGAACUGAGACACGGUCCAGACUCCUACGGGAGGCAGCAGUGGGGAAUUUUGGACAAUGGGCGCAAGCCUGAUCCAGCAAUGCCGCGUGCGAGGAAGAAGGG